GACGAACGCUGGCGGCGUGCUUAACACAUGCAAGUCGAGCGGUAAGGCCCUUUCGGGGUACGACGAGCGGCGAACGGGUGAGUAACACGUGGGCGACCUGCCCUCAGCUCUGGGAUAAGCCCGGGAAACUGGGUCUAAUACUGGAUAUGACUCCAUGACGCAUGUUGUGGGGUGGAAAGCCUUGUGCGGCUGAGGAUGGGCCCGCGGCCUAUCAGCUUGUUGGG
rnacentral:rRNA from 1 species